CCAACUCUCUCCCGCUCUCUGUCUCUCUUACACUCUCAUUCUUUAACUGUCUUUCUAAUUAUCCCUGCCACCUUCUCUUCAUCUCCCUCAGUUCCUCUCCCACAAUUUUUUUCUCUUCAUUUCCCGCUCUCACAGUUCUUCAUCUCUUCACAGUCUAUCAAGCACUCUGACCUACCUAUACAUUUAUACACACGCCUAGCAUAUACAUACAAAGUCAACGGUGGCGGUCGGUGAUGUUUAAGGUGAGGGAGGACGAUAAUUUUUUUAAUGAGCAUGUCCUUAUUUCUAUUACAGCAUAUUGGAUGACUGUCACUCAUAUUUCAUUCACGCAGCUUAAUAUAACAUUGAUAGGUUUAGGCUAAUGCAUGAUACUAACAUUUUCCUUAUACCCAUCAUGAGGUUCCUACAGCCUUGCCGAUGAAUAAAAGUUUACACAGAUCGAGAGCAUCAUUUGAGUAAUCAAGGUGACAGUGACACAUUCAACCCCACCUUGCACACUCUUGCCUGAAUCUAGCGGAUCUAGGGGGUAAACAUUCAAUUAACAGUUGUAAACUAGAGCUUCUUUUGGACAAAUUCAGAUAUGUUUAUCCCUGUUUCAUUCCGUUUAAGAAUGAAACGGCUGACUGAAUACACCCCUGAUCACACAGAAACACAGUUCACUUUCAUAGCAGCCACAUACAAACAGCAUGAUCAUUUUUGUUCAUUGUAUAAAUUCAUUCUCACAUCUACGCGCUCUCCUCCAGUCACCUUUUCUUUUCGGUUGUUGACUUCAUUGAACAACACAUCAGCUGUCUGUGGUGAAAAGGGCGAUUGGGACCAGGGACUUCUCAACCGAUGGAUGUCCACCUCGUACUGCUGCCUCUCUCCGCCUGCUGACACACCCAACACUACAACCCAGGAGGCCUUGCACACAGAGAGAGAGACCACCCAGCAAGCAGCCACUGACAACCUAGCCAGGCUACCAAGAGCUCAGCUCAUGCAACGCUCUCUAUAGUACUACUAAAGACACGGGUGACACGCCCGGCGCAACCGUGAAGGAUACACCCAAUGCUACCACAUAGCUGGUGUGGCGCAAGGGACAGCCAGCGACCUGCCAUUGACAACCAUAUACUAACGACCCCUGUACGGGUAGAGCCGACUGAAUGAACCAUGCUCGGGUAGAGCCGAACUAACAUUGCUCGGAAAGAACCGAGCGAAUGAACAUUGGCCACCGCUCGGUCAGUUAGCCUAUAGCCCUUUUGUAUUUCUUAUCGGGCUGUGGUGAUACUGUAUUGUCAUUGCUAUAAAAGCUGAAUUUAUAUUUAACAACUUUUGAUUGUACUUUGGCCUGUCUCUGUGGUUGUUUGCUGUGAUUUCUGAAACCCUAUUUGUUUGAGCUCCUCUUCAAAAACCUUUUAGAGUCUCGCUUUGCGUCGUGUGGCACUGUUGACUCCCUUGUAGAGUGGAAG
rnacentral:lncRNA from 13 species